rnacentral:rRNA from 1 species
GAGUUUGAUCCUGGCUCAGAACGAACGCUGGCGGCGUGCCUAACACAUGCAAGUCGAACGUGAUCCAGAGCUUGCUCUGGUGAAAGUGGCGCACGGGUGAGUAACGCGUGGAUAACCUACCCUGGUAUCCGGGAUAACAUUCCGAAAGGGGUGCUAAUACCGGAUAAGCCCACGGGCUCUUUGGAGCUUGCGGGAAAAGGUGGCCUCUAUUUAUAAGCUACUGUAUCAGGAUGGGUCCGCGUACCAUUAACUAGUUGGCGGUGUAACGGACCACCAAGGCGACGAUGGUUAGCUGGUCUGAGAGGAUGAUCAGCCACACUGGAACUGAGACACGGUCCAGACUCCUACGGGAGGCAGCAGUGGGGAAUUUUGCGCAAUGGGGGAAACCCUGACGCAGCAACGCCGCGUGAGUGAUGAAGGCCUUUGGGUCGUAAAGCUCUGUCAGAGGGGAGGAAAUGAUAUAGUGCUAAUACCACUUUAUCUUGACGGUACCCUCAAAGGAAGCACCGGCUAACUCCGUGCCAGCAGCCGCGGUAAUAC